GAGAAGUUCCUUCGGGGACGAGUAAAGUGGCGCACGGGUGAGUAACGCGUAAGUAAUCUACCUUGGCAUUUGGAAUAACUACGGGAAGCUGUAGCUAAUACCGGAUACGUUCUCCAUUCUACGGAAUGGAGAAGAAAGAUGACCUCUUCUUGAAAGUUAUCGUGCUAAGAGGAGCUUGCGUACCAUUAGCUAGUUGGUAGGGUAAUGGCCUACCAAGGCAACGAUGGUUAGCGGGUCUGAAAGGAUGAUCCGCCACACUGGAACUGGAACACGGACCAGACUCCUACGGGAGGCAGCAGUGAGGAAUAUUGCGCAAUGGGGGAAACCCUGACGCAGCGACGCCGCGUGGAUGAUGAAGGCCUUAGGGUCGUAAAAUCCUGUCAGGUGGGAAGAAAUGUAUGUAGGAAUAAUACCCUAUGUGCUUGACGGUACCACCAAAGGAAGCACCGGCUAACUCCGUGCCAGCAGCCGCGGUAAUACGGAGGGUGCAAACGUUGUUCGGAAUUACUGGGCGUAAAGCGCGCGUAGGCGGUUUGUUAAGUCAGAUGUGAAAGCCCAAGGCUCAACCUUGGACGUGCAUUUGAAACUGGCAGACUUGAGUACUGGAGGGGAUGGUGGAAUUCCCGGUGUAGAGGUGAAAUUCGUAGAUAUCGGGAGGAAUACCGGUGGCGAAGGCGACCAUCUGGCCAGAUACUGACGCUGAGGUGCGAAAGCAUGGGGAGCAAACAGGAUUAGAUACCCUGGUAGUCCAUGCCGUAAACGAUGUCAACUAGGUGUUGGGGCGGUUAAUCGUCUCAUUG
rnacentral:rRNA from 1 species